rnacentral:rRNA from 1 species
CCUGAGAAACCCAAAAGAUCGAAUGGGGAGAUUCAUCGUCAGCUCAUUUUAUAUAUAUGCAAGUUAUGAUAUGGGUUACUUUUACACCUUGUGUGUAUUAUGUAUUGCCUGUACAUUCUUGUGUAUUUAAUUGUAAGAUGUGGUCGGCGUGCACUUCUCCCCUAGUAGGACAUCGCGACCCGUUGAGUUUUGUUGGUCUACGGCCCAAGUGGAUGCUUUUAAUGAAUGUUUUCCAUAAUAUUUAUUGAAAACCCUUGGUGUCUCCUGACUGGCACUCGUCGGUAAUCGCACAUGGUAUUGAGCCGCAUAUAUUUUUUAUAUGCGUCCUAUCUGUCGCAAGCGAGGUAAUAAAAUAAAAUACUGAUAGUACGGACUUAGUGCCGUCCUUAAUUUUUCCUUUUUAAARRAAAAAAAAUACCCGUCAGCGAUGCUACUGCUUUGGGUACUUUCAGGACCCGUCUUGAAACACGGACCAAGGAGUCUAACAUGUACGCGAGUCAUUGGGAUUUUUAAAAAUUAAACCUAAAGGCGUAAUGAAAGUAAAGGUCGUCCCUGUGUCGAUUAARGGAGGAUGGGCUAUGGAUUAUAUAUUAUUAUAAUUAUAUAGCCUCGCACUCUCGGGGCGUCUCAUUCUCAUUGCGAGAAGAGGCGCACCUAG